GAGCGCGGCUGCGCCGGCAUCCAGUCCAACGCCUAUUACCCGCUCAACACCGCGUCGGCGGGCGCGGGGCC
rnacentral:tRNA from 1 species